rnacentral:misc_RNA from 1 species
AAAACCAUAAACCCAUCUGGGUUUGUACUGGGCGUCGCCCUUGGGCGUAGCCUCAAAGCCAUUGGUCUUGAAUGCGGACGAGAUCCAUUAGGACAGACCGUGCUUGGACUUUAAAUAUCUG